rnacentral:lncRNA from 1 species
AGAAGCUUCUCCGGAAGCACUUGAACACUAUGCUUUCCUUCCUAACUGAAUGCUUCUACCUGUCCUGCAAUCUGCUGUGCAGUUAUAUGUCCUUUUCUUUGCAGAUGACCUGGCAGGAAGGGGAUGUGGGAAUUCCCUCUGGAGAUAUAGCUGGAUAGUUUCUACAUGCGUUUGACAGCUGGCAUCCUAAAUCUGAAGGAAGAAUGAAGUAAAACUGUAUUUUUCAUAUUCAAGUCCUAAAAGAACUUGAGGAUCUUUUUAUUCCUUUCCAUAUUACUGAAGACUGUGAAGCUCCAGAACAAGCAGGAAUUUCUAGCAGAAAUUGUGACUGCUUUUACUUUGCUGAAGGUUUCCCAUCAGCAUCCUGGUUGCCUUAUAACAUGAUGGAAGGAGACUCUUGUGUCAAGGGAGAAAGAAGAUUCGCAAGUGCCCCUCAGAGGCAGAACCACAUGGGACCAAGUGGAAAAAUUCAAGAAAGCUAGCAAGACCUGUUACUUGUAGGAUGCAUUCAGGAUAGACACAAGUAGCCUAAAAUGCAGCUUGUUCUGAGGUAAGCAUAUUCUUUGCUUUUACAGUGCAGUUUAUAAGUAAAGUAAUGUGAAAAAUAGGAUAGCCAGUGAUGUGAAUAUAUGUCUUUGAUUCGCUGGUUUUACUGUUGCAUUAUUUAGUCUUUGGGGAUUUUUGGCAGGAGAGGAUGGGGUUGGGAGGGAAGUAGAGAGGGACUGUUUACUUCUUAACAGUCCUAAGAUGUAUGUUGUCUUCUUCUCUUUUUCUGUCCAAAUAAUGUUGUUGGUAUGACGAGGGAGACAAGCUUAGAGUUACUUUAAUAAAAGAAGAUAAGAACAAAGACCGUAAUGUACA